rnacentral:rRNA from 1 species
GACGAACGUUGGCGGCGUGCUUAAUACAUGCAAGUCAACUGAAGCAGUGGUAGCAAUCUCGCUGUGGAGGUGGCGCACGAGUGAGUAACACGUAGGUAAUCUGCCUUCAGGUCUGGCAUAACUCCGGGAAACCGGGGCUAAUAGCAGAUGAUGCAGCGGCUCGACAUCGAGACAGUUGUUAAAGCUAUGGCGCCUGAAGAUGAGCCUGCGUCUGAUUAGCUAGUUGGCGGGGUAACGGCCCACCAAGGCAACGAUCAGUAGCUGGUCUGAGAGGAUGAUCAGCCACACUGGAACUGAGACACGGUCCAGACUCCUACGGGAGGCAGCAGUAAGGAAUAUUGCUCAAUGGGAGAAAUCCUGAAGCAGCAACGCCGCGUGAGGGACGAAGGGCUUUUGCUUGUAAACCUCUGUAGUGAGAGAAAAAAAUCCCAAUCUUUGGGACAUGAUGGUAUCUCAAAAGUAAGCCCCGGCUAACUACGUG